rnacentral:rRNA from 1 species
GGAAACGAACUGCUAAUACCGCAUAAGCCCACGGUGCCGCAUGGCACAGAGGGAAAAGGAGCAAUCCGCUUUGAGAUGGCCUCGCGUCCGAUUAGCUAGUUGGUGAGGUAACGGCCCACCAAGGCAACGAUCGGUAGCCGGACUGAGAGGUUGAACGGCCACAUUGGGACUGAGACACGGCCCAGACUCCUACGGGAGGCAGCAUG